AAGGCCUAGCCGCUUCCCAUUGGCUCCGCCAGUUGCUAGGCGAUGAACAACAGCGGCCUGCAUUGGUCCGGUGGCACCUCCAAAAAAACCCGGAGAAAAAGAAAACCUCAUCCCUAGAGCCUGAGCGGGAUGCGGGCGCAGCUGCGGCUGCCGGCACCUGUUACGCCCUGUGAUUCACCCUGCAGGGUCCUGCUCUCCACCCCCUCCUCACACCCGCGGAGCUCGGGGCCCCGGGCUUCAUGUGGCUAGGGGCGGGUGGCGGGGUCGUGGCUGCUUCAAAGCACACGUCUCUGAGCCCCUGUGAACCCCAGCACCCACCCGAGCAAAAGUGAAGCGCCCAGAGGAUCCUGAAAGCACUUUGAAACCAAAAUACUAUGAGAGAAGGACAAGAAUUGUUAAAACUGAAGAACAAGGGAGAAAGGAGUGCCUUCCUCCAGUUCACACACUUAUAUCCAGCCCCAACCCUGGAUGAAAGAUCAAGGCGAGAACAUGAACAUGCCAUGGCGACAACUUCAGAAUCCAAGGAUUUGGCGUGGGAAGGUCCUAGUUCCCCAAAAGAAAUUGAACCGAUGUACUCGCUGUGUAAUGAAAGUAUGGAGUCAACCACUGGACCAUCAGGGAAGUCCCUUCACUUAAUUAUUUAAAAUCCAGACUUCUGUGUACUAUUUUAAUGAAGAGUUUCUGUAACAUGAAUCUCAGUACAGAAGACAAAGAUGUUGCAAUCAACAAAACAAUUUUUAUCUUUUUGUUCUGCUACUGGCAAUGCAAUUUUGUCUUAGUAAUAAAUUUCCAUUUGAUCUCAUUAUUUCUAUUUCACUAGGUAAAGUUUUUUGUUUUGUUUUUUUCUACAUUCUCAGUGAAAGAAGAAAUCUGAAAGCUUGAUUCCUGGUGGAUUUUAUUUUCUGCUUUGUAAACCUCUAUCAAUGAUAUCAUCAAACAAUUGUUCAAAUUGAAAUACAGUGGAAAAAAAAAAAGAAAGAAAUAUAGUGGAAGAGAAUCCUCUGUAUAUGGGUUCAAACACCCUAUAAAAAUUCAGAGCUGAAAAACUUAGAUAUCAAUUAAAAUAUAGUAUUGAUCUAAAGUAACUGCUUAAGGCUUACACUAGUGAGUGAAUCUUCCUGUCCCUUUAAAAAGAAAAGCCAUUGCAUUCUGGUUGCUGAGCUCUCUUGGAUUUAUUUUAUCUUAGCAGCUGUUCCUGAAGUCACUGUUAUUCAAAUAAGGGUUUUCAAACUCUUUGUUGUGUUUUUUCAUAACUUAUGGUAUAAGCUAUCAAAUUUAGAAUGGGUGGAGGUGAGGACAAUUAGAAAUACAAGAGAAAUAAAGUCAUAUUGAAAAAA